UACGUAGGGUGCGGGCGUUAAUCGGAAUUACUGGGCGUAAAGCGUGCGCAGGCGGUCUGUUAAGACAGAUGUGAAAUCCCCGGGCUUAACCUGGGAACUGCAUUUGUGACUGGCAGGCUAGAGUAUGGCAGAGGGGGGUAGAAUUCCACGUGUAGCAGUGAAAUGCGUAGAGAUGUGGAGGAAUACCGAUGGCGAAGGCAGCCCCAUGGGCCAAUACUGACGCUCAUGCACGAAAGCGUGGGGAGCAAACAGG
rnacentral:rRNA from 1 species